UACGAAGGUCCCGAGCGUUGUUCGGAAUCACUGGGCGUAAAGGGAGCGUAGGCGGCGCGGUAAGUCAGAUGUGAAAUCCCGGGGCUCAACCCCGGAACUGCAUCCGAUACUGCCGUGCUAGAGUAAUGGAGGGGUAGCUGGAAUUAUCGGUGUAGCAGUGAAAUGCGUAGAUAUCGAUAGGAACACUCGUGGCGAAAGCGAGCUACUGGACAUUUACUGACGCUGAGGCUCGAAGGCUAGGGGAGCGAAAGGG
rnacentral:rRNA from 1 species